rnacentral:rRNA from 1 species
GUGAUCUAGUCAUGACCAGAUUGAAGGUAUGGUAAAACGUACUGAAGGAUCGAACCAGUUAAUGUUGCAGCAUUAUUGGAUGAGUUGUGAUUAGGGGUGAAAGGCCAAUCAAACUUGGAAAUAGCUGGUUCUCCGCGAAAUCUAUUUAGGUAGAGCGUUGUAUUUAUGUUGUUGGGGGUAGAGCACUGGAUAGACUAGGGGGAUUCAUCAUCUUACCAAAUCUAACCAAACUCCGAAUACCAAUAACUAAUUAUACAGCAGACACACUAUGGGUGCUAAGUCCGUGGUGGAAAGGGAAACAGCCCAGAUCACUAUCUAAGGUCCCAAAAUUACAGCUAAGUGGGGAAGGAAGUAGAAAAACCAUUACAGCUAGGAGGUUGGCUUGGAAGCAGCCAUCCUUUAAAGAAAGCGUAACAGCUCACUUGUCUAAAUAAGUUUUUCUGCGCCGAAAAUGUACCGGGGCUAAAGCUGUAUACCGAAGAUGUGAGUGCUUAUUGAUUUCGAUCAAUAGGCGCGGUAGCGGAGCGUUCCGUAAGUCUGUGAAGGUGGUUUGUGAAAACUGCUGGAGAUAUCGGAAGUGAGAAUGCUGACAUAAGUAGCGUAAAAGAGUGUGAAAAACACUCUCACCAAAAAUCUAAGGGUUCCUACGUUAAGUUAAUCUGCGUAGGGUUAGUCGGUUCCUAAGGCGAGUCCGUAAAGGAGUAGUCGAUGGCAAUUAGGUUAAUAUUCCUAAACCUCUUAAGUGUGACGGGUUUUGUAUUUGUAUAGGUCUUAUUGGAUUGAUCUAUGCUUAAAAGAAGCUCCAGGAAAUAGCACUUAUAUUUAUGAGGCCGUACCGUAAACCGACACUGGUGGAUGAGUAGAGUAUACUAAGGUGUUGAAAGAAUGAUGUUGAAGGAACUCGGCAAAUUAUACCUGUAACUUCGGAAGAAGGGUAACCUGCUUUUAGGCAACUAUGAGUAGGUGGCACAAAAUAGGGAGUAGCGACUGUUUACUAAAAACACAGGACUCUGCAAACACGUAAGUGGAAGUAUAGGGUCUGACGCCUGCCCGGUGCUGGAAGGUUAAUAGGAGGGGUGUAAGCUCUGAAUUGAAGCCCCAGUAAACGGCGGCCGUAACACUGACGGUCCUAAGGUAGCGAAAUUCCUUGUCGGGUAAGUUCCGACCCGCACGAAUGGCGUAACGAUUUCUCCACUGUCUCCAACAUCACUUCAGCGAAAUUGAAUUCCCCGUGCAGAUGCGGGGUACCCGCGGUUAGACGAAGAGACCCCGUGCACCUUUACUAUAGCUUUACAUUGCUAUUAAAAGUGUGAUGUGCAGGAUAGGUGG